UGAGUACGAGAUGCUACGGCAUCGAAGCAGUCUAUGUCAUACUUCCAAGAAAAGCUUGCAAUGUCAUAAACAAAUAAUGCCUGUACCAUAACCGACACAGGUGGGUAGGUAGAGUAUACUAAGGGGCGCGAGAUAACUCUCUCUAAGGAACUCGGCAAAAUGACUCCGUAACUUCGGGAGAAGGAGUGCCUUAUUUUUAUAAGGUUGCAAUAACAAGAUCCAAGCAACUGUUUACCAAAAACACAGGUCUCCGCUAAGUCGUAAGACGAUGUAUGGGGGCUGACGCCUGCCCAGUGCCAGAAGGUUAAAGAAGUUGGUUAGCAUUAGCGAAGCUGAUAACUGAAGCCCUGGUGAACGGCGGCCGUAACAAUAACGGUCCUAAGGUAGCGAAAUUCCUUGUCGGGUAAGUUCCGACCCGCACGAAAGGCGUAAUGAUUUGGAUACUGUCUCGGAGAGGGGCUCGGUGAAAUAGACUUGUCUGUGAAGAUGCGGACUACCUGCACCUGGACAGAAAGACCCUAUGAAGCUUUACUGUAACUUGAGAUUGAAAUUGGACUUUAUCUGCGCAGUAUAGGUGGGAGACGUUGAAAAUAUUCUUGCGGGAAUAUUGGAGUCAUCAGUGAGAUACCACUCUUAUAAUGUUAGAUUUCUAACUUUGUAUCAUUAUCUGGUCAAAGAACAGUUUCAGGCGGGCAGUUUGACUGGGGCGGUCGCCUCCCAAACGGUAACGGAGGCGCACAAAGGUUUCCUCUGAACGUGUAGAAAUCGUAUCUAGAGUGUAAAGGCAUAAGGAAGCUUGACUGUGAGACCUACAAGUCGAGCAGGGACGAAAGUCGGUCUUAGUGAUCUGACGGUGCUGAGUGGAAAGGCCGUCACUCAACGAAUAAAAGUUACUCUAGGAUAACAGGCUGAUCUCCCCCAAGAGUUCACAUCGACGGGGAGGUUUGGCACCUCGAUGUCGGCUCAUCGCAUCCUGGGGCGGUAGUACGUCCCAAGGGUUGGGCUGUUCGCCCAUGAAAGCGGUACGCGAGCUGGGUUCAGAACGUCGUGAGACAGUUCGGUCCAUAUCCGGUGUAGGCGUUAGAAUAUUGAGAGGAGCCUUCUUUAGUACGAGAGGACCGAGAAGGACAUACCUCUGGUGUACCAGUUAUCGUGCCAACGGUAAACGCUGGGUAGCCAUGUACGGAGAGGAUAACCGCUGAAAGCAUCUAAGUGGGAAGCCCACCUCAAGAUAAG
rnacentral:rRNA from 1 species